GGUUAAGCGACUAAGCGUACACGGUGGAUGCCCUGGCAGUCAGAGGCGAUGAAGGACGUGCUAAUCUGCGAUAAGCGUCGGUAAGGUGAUAUGAACCGUUAUAACCGGCGAUUUCCGAAUGGGGAAACCCAGUGUGUUUCGACACACUAUCAUUAACUGAAUCCAUAGGUUAAUGAGGCGAACCGGGGGAACUGAAACAUCUAAGUACCCCGAGGAAAAGAAAUCAACCGAGAUUCCCCCAGUAGCGGCGAGCGAACGGGGAGGAGCCCAGAGCCUGAAUCAGUGUGUGUGUUAGUGGAAGCGUCUGGAAAGGCGCGCGAUACAGGGUGACAGCCCCGUACACAAAAAUGCACAUACUGUGAGCUCGAUGAGUAGGGCGGGACACGUGGUAUCCUGUCUGAAUAUGGGGGGACCAUCCUCCAAGGCUAAAUACUCCUGACUGACCGAUAGUGAACCAGUACCGUGAGGGAAAGGCGAAAAGAACCCCGGCGAGGGGAGUGAAAAAGAACCUGAAACCGUGUACGUACAAGCAGUGGGAGCCUCUUUAUGGGGUGACUGCGUACCUUUUGUAUAAUGGGUCAGCGACUUAUAUUCUGUAGCAAGGUUAACCGAAUAGGGGAGCCGAAGGGAAACCGAGUCUUAACUGGGCGUUAAGUUGCAGGGUAUAGACCCGAAACCCGGUGAUCUAGCCAUGGGCAGGUUGAAGGUUGGGUAACACUAACUGGAGGACCGAACCGACUAAUGUUGAAAAAUUAGCGGAUGACUUGUGGCUGGGGGUGAAAGGCCAAUCAAACCGGGAGAUAGCUGGUUCUCCCCGAAAGCUAUUUAGGUAGCGCCUCGUGAAUUCAUCUCCGGGGGUAGAGCACUGUUUCGGCAAGGGGGUCAUCCCGACUUACCAACCCGAUGCAAACUGCGAAUACCGGAGAAUGUUAUCACGGGAGACACACGGCGGGUGCUAACGUCCGUCGUGAAGAGGGAAACAACCCAGACCGCCAGCUAAGGUCCCAAAGUCAUGGUUAAGUGGGAAACGAUGUGGGAAGGCCCAGACAGCCAGGAUGUUGGCUUAGAAGCAGCCAUCAUUUAAAGAAAGCGUAAUAGCUCACUGGUCGAGUCGGCCUGCGCGGAAGAUGUAACGGGGCUAAACCAUGCACCGAAGCUGCGGCAGCGACGCUUAUGCGUUGUUGGGUAGGGGAGCGUUCUGUAAGCCUGCGAAGGUGUGCUGUGAGGCAUGCUGGAGGUAUCAGAAGUGCGAAUGCUGACAUAAGUAACGAUAAAGCGGGUGAAAAGCCCGCUCGCCGGAAGACCAAGGGUUCCUGUCCAACGUUAAUCGGGGCAGGGUGAGUCGACCCCUAAGGCGAGGCCGAAAGGCGUAGUCGAUGGGAAACAGGUUAAUAUUCCUGUACUUGGUGUUACUGCGAAGGGGGGACGGAGAAGGCUAUGUUGGCCGGGCGACGGUUGUCCCGGUUUAAGCGUGUAGGCUGGUUUUCCAGGCAAAUCCGGAAAACCAAGGCUGAGGCGUGAUGACGAGGCACUACGGUGCUGAAGCGACAAAUGCCCUGCUUCCAGGAAAAGCCUCUAAGCAUCAGGUAACAUCAAAUCGUACCCCAAACCGACACAGGUGGUCAGGUAGAGAAUACCAAGGCGCUUGAGAGAACUCGGGUGAAGGAACUAGGCAAAAUGGUGCCGUAACUUCGGGAGAAGGCACGCUGAUAUGUAGGUGAAGCGACUUGCUCGUGGAGCUGAAAUCAGUCGAAGAUACCAGCUGGCUGCAACUGUUUAUUAAAAACACAGCACUGUGCAAACACGAAAGUGGACGUAUACGGUGUGACGCCUGCCCGGUGCCGGAAGGUUAAUUGAUGGGGUUAGCGGUAACGCGAAGCUCUUGAUCGAAGCCCCGGUAAACGGCGGCCGUAACUAUAACGGUCCUAAGGUAGCGAAAUUCCUUGUCGGGUAAGUUCCGACCUGCACGAAUGGCGUAAUGAUGGCCAGGCUGUCUCCACCCGAGACUCAGUGAAAUUGAACUCGCUGUGAAGAUGCAGUGUACCCGCGGCAAGACGGAAAGACCCCGUGAACCUUUACUAUAGCUUGACACUGAACAUUGAGCCUUGAUGUGUAGGAUAGGUGGGAGGCUUUGAAGUGUGGACGCCAGUCUGCAUGGAGCCGACCUUGAAAUACCACCCUUUAAUGUUUGAUGUUCUAACGUUGGCCCGUAAUCCGGGUUGCGGACAGUGUCUGGUGGGUAGUUUGACUGGGGCGGUCUCCUCCUAAAGAGUAACGGAGGAGCACGAAGGUUGGCUAAUCCUGGUCGGACAUCAGGAGGUUAGUGCAAUGGCAUAAGCCAGCUUGACUGCGAGCGUGACGGCGCGAGCAGGUGCGAAAGCAGGUCAUAGUGAUCCGGUGGUUCUGAAUGGAAGGGCCAUCGCUCAACGGAUAAAAGGUACUCCGGGGAUAACAGGCUGAUACCGCCCAAGAGUUCAUAUCGACGGCGGUGUUUGGCACCUCGAUGUCGGCUCAUCACAUCCUGGGGCUGAAGUAGGUCCCAAGGGUAUGGCUGUUCGCCAUUUAAAGUGGUACGCGAGCUGGGUUUAGAACGUCGUGAGACAGUUCGGUCCCUAUCUGCCGUGGGCGCUGGAGAACUGAGGGGGGCUGCUCCUAGUACGAGAGGACCGGAGUGGACGCAUCACUGGUGUUCGGGUUGUCAUGCCAAUGGCACUGCCCGGUAGCUAAAUGCGGAAGAGAUAAGUGCUGAAAGCAUCUAAGCACGAAACUUGCCCCGAGAUGAGUUCUCCCUGAGACUUUAAGUCUCCUGAAGGAACGUUGAAGACGACGACGUUGAUAGGCCGGGUGUGUAAGCGCAGCGAUGCGUUGAGCUAACCGGUACUAAUGAACCGUGAGGCUUAACCUU
rnacentral:rRNA from 1 species